AACAAAAGAGGGAGAUUUGUUUAGCAGAUACACCUUUCAGUUUAUCUCUACUGUCUUGCUGCAAUGGCUGCAAGUUUAACCAGCUGCCUUUUCUAUCCCCCAGUGAUUUGGCCCUCCAACUCCCCUGCACUAUUGUGUCACUAAAUAAGCAAAGAAAAUGAGUGAUUUUAUAAAAUAUAAAGCCAAGUAAAGACGAGCACAGAGGAUUAUUUAAAUGAGGAAAAAACCCAACCAACAAACCCACAUUUUAACAGGGAGCACACACUGGUUUAUGAACCUGACUC